CACCUGCAUCGCCACCAUGUCCUCCUCCUCCUCGGUCGCCGCCCCGGUCGAGCACAUCGUGCUCCUCAAGGCCCGCCCGGAGGCAGUCCCCUCGAGCACCGCCGUGGCGAUGGUCUCCUCGCUGCAGGCGCUCGCCACGCAGGUCCCGGGCCUGGCCUACAUCCACGCGGGCCAAUCACCAAUCACCGUCGCGUCAAUGUCAUUGCUUGCCAAGGCUCCGCUUCCCUAAUCAAAUGUGGCGGGCGGGUCGCGGGCUGACAACAAUGAGACAAUUGUGACGGCGGCCUAUCUGGAGGAGCUGCUCAUCGGGGUUAGCAGCCAUGCCAUGCUGCAGAAGCUGCUUCACGCGGCCAGCAAGUGCGAGGUGACCCUUUCGAUAUGCGCAUGUGCCGCCAUGCGAGGGGCGACAGCAGCUCGUCAUGGCAACUACAGAGAGCUGCCGGAGGCAAAUCGGAGCUGAGGGCUGCCGUCCUUCGCCUCCCGUGACCAAGAUUGCCCAGCCCGACGAGAUGAUGACCGUCGCUUUGCAGUCGUCACGAGUGGGCAGCGUCGCCUUCCUGUCCACCUCGACGUUCACCACGGGGGUUACUGCAAGGGAUCGUUUUCUCCGAGGAAAGUAAUCAUACUUGAAUUCCUCGAUUAUUGUCUGUUUCCACUGCAUUGUGGCAAAACUUUGGACCUUCAGGUGACUACCACUACCAGCACCAGCAUCAUCGAAGGGAGGAGAAUAGAGACUGCAUUGAACGGUUGUGACGUGUCCAGGCAUUGCCAUGCUGUAAGGUUUCUUUAGUUAUUGACGUGCAAGAAUUUGAUGGUGUUUGACAAACAGGAUAUGGCAAUGAAUAUGACGAUGUAGGGAAUCCAGGAUCCAAUUUUAGGCUAUUAUCAUAAUUUGAAUACAAGGUGAAUCUUAUUAUCAUUCUGAUAAUAGCAAGUUGGGUUGUUGCUACUGAUGGGGCAACAUGCUUUCUACACCGCAAAACUAAGGUCCUGUUUGGUUUAGAGCUGCUAAAGUUUAGGGCUAAAGUUUAGUCCCUUUUAGUCCCUAAACUGUCAAACAUGGUGACUAAAAGGGUCUUACCCUCCGCUUCGUCGUCCCGCGCUCCAGGGCGUGCGCGGCGUCCGUGAAUCACGGCACGGGGAGCAUCAGCGCCCUACGUUUCAAGGAGACGCCCCCACGCGCCCUCAGACAUCCAUCGACGCAAUCCAACGAUUAUUGCCCUGCUGAAUCGAAUGUUGAAGAUUGUUCAAGUCGCCGUUAGAGCUUGCUAGAAAUGAAUACGAUGUAAAGGUGAUUAACUGUUAUAUAUUGUUUAGGAAUUGGUCACAUGAUUGUUCUUUUGCAAGUUGAGAUAAAGAACA